CAUUAAAUGACUGAAAAAAGUAUUGAUUUUUUAAAUCAAAAAAUAAUAGAAUUUAUCUAUUUUUAAUGA
rnacentral:tRNA from 1 species